rnacentral:rRNA from 1 species
GACGAACGCUGGCGGCGUGCCUAAUACAUGCAAGUAGAACGCUGAAGCGAGGAGCUUGCUCUUCUUGGAUGAGUUGCGAACGGGUGAGUAACGCGUAGGUAACCUGCCUGGUAGCGGGGGAUAACUAUUGGAAACGAUAGCUAAUACCGCAUAAAAUUGAUUAUUGCAUGAUAAUUAAUUGAAAGAUGCAACUGCAUCACUACCAGAUGGACCUGCGUUGUAUUAGCUAGUUGGUGAGGUAACGGCUCACCAAGGCGACGAUACAUGGCCGACCUGAGAGGGUGAUCGGCCACACUGGGACUGAGACACGGCCCAGACUCCUACGGGAGGCAGCAGUAGGGAAUCUUCGGCAAUGGGGGGAACCCUGACCGAGCAACGCCGCGUGAGUGAAGAAGGUUUUCGGAUCGUAAAGCUCUGUUGUAAGAGAAGAACGGGUGUGAGAGUGGAAAGUUCACACUGUGACGGUAUCUUACCAGAAAGGGACGGCUAACUACG